GCGCUGCAAUCAAAUGUCUUCAGCCGAUUGUUGUUGUGCCAUGUGGCAGUCGCCAAUUCAGGGAGUACUGAGACCCGCUGUAUGGCUGCCUGGUGUUAGAAAUCUCCACAGUUGUAAAGAGACGUGGAUAAUACCAGAAGCAACUCCUGAAGUGUGCUUAGAACAUUUGGUAUCAGCUAUAGCUUUACUUAGUGAAACUGAGAAGAUGCAUAUAAAUAAGGUUCGCCAUGAGAGAAAUUUUGUGCAAAUAUUUUCAUAUACUGAGGCUGAAUGGCUGGAUAUUGUGGAAAUAGAAUUUCAACCAGGACAGGAGAGGGGAACUCUUGCAAAGGCAAAGUCAUUUUCAACUGGAUUUCUUCCUUUGAUGAUUCCAUUUGCCUUUCUUCUAAACAUGAUCUUUUUCUUCAUCCCUUUUUAUGACAAUAAAUACAAUGAGAUGAGGUUGGCAAGAAUUCGUCAAAAAAUGAAUCUGAACAUUGAAGUAGCAAGAAAAGAAUCAUAAAAUUUAUAAACUUUCAGGGGUCAAUUGUCAACUAUUGAUCAAAGUAUGAUGAAAGCAGGUCUUAAAAAUAUAACAUCUUUAAGUAUUUAGGAGUAAUUUGAAAUUGCCUUUUCUAUUAUAAUGAUAGUACAUGAUAGAUUAUAAGACAUACUUUAAUUAGUAUGGUAAUUUAAGAGUAGAGAACUUUUUUAAAUGCAUUUUGGAACUUGUUUUAAUUUGAAAUUAGGUAACAUUUAUUUACUCAUAGCUUGGGAGUUAGGCCCAUUUUCUGCCACUCCUUUGAAGUCCACAUUUUAUCCCUUCCCAAGGUAGGUGCAAAUCUUCAUUUCCCAAACAGAAGCUGGAUCUUUCAGAAGAGGGGUCCCACAUGGCAUUUGAGGAAAUUUGCACAAGGACAUUCAUUUGCAUUAACAAAGUGCUCUUGAAAAUGUAAAGGUCUCCUUAAGAGAGAGGCAGUGGUGGAUCCCACACUAUCUUCCUAGAUGAUUGUGUUGUUUGAGAGUUGUCCUGAAAGGAAUUGUUGUGAAUGGCAGUUACUUACACUUUGACAAGCUAAGAGGAAGUCAAUAUCAGUCACUAGCUCUAAGUGCAAUGUCAAAAUGUUGGAUACUUUUGUGGACAACAGUACUUUUGACGUUUGCUGUCUCCUGAUUAAUCAGACAAUGUGAUCUGCAACUAUCAACCCUGGGUUCAAAGCAUAUACUGCACUACCUUCAAUUGAGCUAACCACCUCCCGGUUUAGCUCAAUGGAUAGAGCACUGGACUGUUGUGUGGGAAGUCGAGGGUUCAA